rnacentral:rRNA from 1 species
UGAGGAACACGUGAAGAAUCUGCCUUCAACUCUGGGAUAACUCCGGGAAACCGGGGCUAAUACCGGAUAUGAGCCUUGAUCGCAUGAUUGGGGCUGGAAAGUUUUUCGGUUGAAGAUGACUUCGCGGCCUAUCAGCUUGUUGGUGAGGUAAUGGCUCACCAAGGCGACGACGGGUAGCCGGCCUGAGAGGGCGACCGGCCACACUGGGACUGAGACACGGCCCUGACUCCUACGGGAGGCAGCAGUGGGGAAUAUUGGGCAAUGGAGGAAACUCUGACCCAGCGACGCCGCGUGAGGGAUGAAGGCCUUCGGGUUGUAAACCUCUUUCAGUAGGGAAGAAGCGAAAGUGACGGUACCUACAGAAGAAGCACCGGCUAACUAUGUGCCAGCAGCCGCGGUAAUACAUAGGGUGCAAGCGUUGUCCGGAAUUAUUGGGCGUAAAGAGCUCGUAGGUGGUUCGAUACGUCGGAUGUGAAAAUCAGGGGCUCAACCCCUGACCUGCAUCCGAUACGGUCGAGCUAGAGUUUGGUAGGGGAGACUGGAAUUCCUGGUGUAGCGGUGGAAUGCGCAGAUAUCAGGAGGAACACCGAUGGCGAAGGCAGGUCUCUGGGCCAAUACUGACACUGAGGAGCGAAAGCGUGGGGAGCGAACAGGAUUAGAUACCCUGGUAGUCCACGCCGUAAACGGUGGGCGCUAGUUGUGCGAACCUUCCACGGUUUGUGCGACGCAGCUAACGCAUUAAGCGCCCCGCCUGGGGAGUACGAUCGC